rnacentral:rRNA from 1 species
CCUACGGGAGGCAGCAGUGGGGAAUAUUGCACAAUGGGGGGAACCCUGAUGCAGCGACGCCGCGUGAGUGAAGAAGUAUCUCGGUACGUAAAGCUCUAUCAGCAGGGAAGAAAAUGACGGUACCUGACUAAGAAGCCCCGGCUGACUACGUGCCAGCAGCCGCGGUAAUACGUAGGGGGCAAGCGUUAUCCGGAUUUACUGGGUGUAAAGGGAGCGUAGACGGCACUGCAAGUCCGGAGUGAAAGCCCAAGGCUUAACCAUGGGACUGCUCUGGAAACUGUGGAGCUUGAGUGCGGGAGGGGCAGGCGGAAUUCCUAGUGUAGCGGUGAAAUGCGUAGAUAUUAGGAGGAACACCAGUGGCGAAGGCGGCCUGCUGGGCUUUUACUGACGCUGAGGCUCGAAAGUGUGGGGAGCAAACAGGAUUAGAUACCCUUGUAGUC